UACGUAGGGCGCAAGCGUUUGUCCGGAAUUAUUGGGCGUAAAGAGCUCGUAGGCGGCUUGUCACGUCGGGUGUGAAAGCCCGGGGCUUAACCCCGGGUCUUGCAUUCGAUACGGGCUAGCUAGAGUGUGGUAGGGGAGAUCGAAUUCCUGGUGUAGCGGUGAAAUGCGCAGAUAUCAGGAGGAACACCGGUGGCGAAGGCGGAUCUCUGGGCCAUUACUGACGCUGAGGAGCGAAAGCGUGGGGAGCGAACAGG
rnacentral:rRNA from 1 species